UUUUCACACUGUGACAUAGUUCCAUAUUGAAGUGAGGUAAGUGAAAGCAUCUCACAGAAUAUUCGGCUCAUUUGGACUAAGGAGUAAAAGUUGGCUUGAGGACUGAAAGAGGAAAUUUAAAUCUCGUCUGUGAUGCGAAAACAAGAUUCAAGUUAAGGUUACAUUGAGAUUGAUUCAUGAGUACAUGAUGAUGUACUGCUUGUGGUUGGAGCACCAGACAGAGUGAGAAAGUGAAAAUUAGGGAAAACAUCCUGAAGAAUGAAGCACGUGACUUAAGUGGUGGAUUAGGUAUAAAGGGCUCCCAGAUGUGUGACCUGGCCAGUCUCCAGCUCCGUCCAUCUGUAUUUACCACUGCAAACUGAACUGCAGUGAAUUUCUUGUGUCUUGCAGCCUUUCCAGAGCCUCCAAGGAUCCUCAGCAGUGACCCUGUAGAAGUGAAUCAGGAGGUCACAUUAACAUGUGAGGUCCCAAAUGUCUAUCCAGCUGCGAAGAUGAGAGUACGAUGGUUUUGGGACAGUGAACAACAGAAUUCAGUAACAACUCAGUCAAAUUCCAGCACAGUCAGGGAAACAAUUACAUGGGAGUAUGAGAAACCGGUCUGACUGAAUCACCUGCACGGCAGAUUUUGAGGAUUGUCCAUCAAUUCCACCGAAGAACGAUAACUUUUCCAUUGAGGUUUACGUUUUCUCCAACCCUGAAAUCUACAUCCCAAUCGCCACUGAGGGUAUUCCAGUGAAUAUUAUCUGCAGAGUGUUUGAUGUCUCAAGCAAACUUCAACUCAGACUGAAGGAGGGAAGUGAGAUAUUAGUGAGCAGGUCAGCCAGUACUAGGCUGACUAUCUACCACACUGUGAAUCCAUGAGCAGAGCUGAAUGGACAGCAGUUCACCUGCGAGGCCGAGCUGACACUUCACCAUCACUCCAACACCAUUGUUAAACGACAGUCCGCCACUCUCGAUGUCCCUGAUUCACCCAGGUUAUAAACAUGGAUAAUUCUAGUCGUUCUACCUUUGGUAAUUGUUGGAAUUCCACUCGCUCUGACACUGAUCGUCUACAAGAAAUGCGUGCGCCAAAGGCGGUGAGCUGAGAGUCUCUGGAAAUGAUGCCGGGAUUAUGACAUAAUGCACAAAUAUUGAAGUCAAGAAUAUUUAAUAUGAAUGCAAUAACAUGCUGAUUAUGGACACAUAUUCUAGCGAUGGUGUAUUCUUAUUGAGGGAAGCUUCUGACUGCAGUGUUAAUACGUAACCCCACUUUACCUGCUCAUUGCUGAGAAUGCUCUGCGCUGGGGGUCCAAUCUGAACCCAUGUAUUACAAUGAUUCCCACAGACACUGGAUCAUCACCUGCCAACUGGAACAGCAAUGAAAGCCACAGAUUACAGUGGUCCUGCACAUCAAAUGUAAUGAAGUUUGAAUCAACGAUGUUCCUGAUUUACUUUGAACUCUUUCAAAACAUCCUGAAGACUGGAUUCGAGCAAGUAGCAAAAUCUGAUGUCAAUUUGACUACAGUUUACUUAAGUGUAUUUCUCUCUGUCUUACUGAAUGCAAAGUUACAUUUUCUACCUUUUCAGUUUACUGAGGCUGUUCUAGAGUUGUGGGGAUUUUGGGGCACCGUAAACUGCACCCAUUUAUUCUGCAGCCAUUUCUUUAACUCCCCGGGAUAAAGACUGUCAGGCCAGUGGGACUGGUCGGGUUUUACUCUCCUCACUCUCUAGAAUUCAAUCCUUCGUGAUGGUAAUCACUUUAAGGUCCACAUGGUCCUUUUCAGUCUCCCCGAGGUGAAAGCCAGGAAUAGCACAGGCUUGAUUCUUCUAAAAAGAGCUGGCAAAAAUGUUACUGCAAUGAACCAAUCUGUCUUGUUCAAGCUGGUAGAUCUAUUCUGACCCCUUCCUCCAAUCCUUCUCUGUUCUCCCCAUUUUGUCCCCUUUUCCUCAAAUGCAACAACCCUCGCCACCCCCUUCAGUCCAUCAACCCCAUGAUCUAUUUAUAUUCUAUUCACCAUCCUUGUUCCAUCCACACACAGUUGGCUAAUACACUUGCCCUCUCUCCUCUAUCUAGUCCACCACCUGCCAUUCACCUCCCCACUAAUAGAUCCCAUUCUCACCAGGUACCAGCACUGGUGGCCCUUUGUAUUUCUGCUUAUCUACCUGCUGUAGAAGUCUCCAGAUCUUACACUCCCCUCCUCCAACCUUGCUCCAUCUGUCUUUCAUUUUCCCCCUCUUUUUCUGCCUCCAUCUUAUUCAUCUUCCAUUAUCUCCUAACUCCACUCCAAGCCAUUCCCUGGCGCAGCUGUCUAUCGUCAUACAACUCUCCUCAGCCCAGUAAUCACUUUUGACUCCUGUAUCGUCGUUCCUCCUGAGAGACCAUCUCACUUCUCCCACUCUCAGUCCUGAUGAAGGGCUUCAACUUGAAACAACACCAUUUUCUUCUCUCCCACGGACACUGCUGGACUGACUUGCACAGUUCCACCAGUUGUUUGUUUGAAGAAGACAAUUAUUUUAAUUUCUUCUUUCUCUGUUUUAUUCUUGUUCUAAAUACUCACCCUUUAUCUUAUCAUGGCCAACAUCCUUGCUUCCUAAACUGCUUUCAGUCCUCACGUUUUUAGAUUUCCUGGGACAUCUAUGCUUUUUGAUAAGCUUCUCUGAGGAACUUGCAAAAGUUGAAAAUAUUUAAUGCAGGAGUUGGUUACUCUAUUGCGUAUUGCCUUUACUUAGGCUUUAAAAAUUGUUGCCAUAUAAAAUUAAUUUACUGUUCUCAUGAAGUACUGUGCAUUUUAUUAAGGUCUUGUCCACAGAUGAGUGUAUCUUAAAGGCUAAUUGAUUAUCCUUGAGUGGGUGAAAAUAAAACAUGGGUAA